GACGAACGCUGGCGGCGUGCUUAACACAUGCAAGUCGAACGGAAAGGCCCUGCUUUUGUGGGGUGCUCGAGUGGCGAACGGGUGAGUAACACGUGAGUAACCUGCCCUUGACUUUGGGAUAACUUCAGGAAACUGGGGCUAAUACCGGAUAGGAGCUCCUGCUGCAUGGUGGGGGUUGGAAAGUUUCGGCGGUUGGGGAUGGACUCGCGGCUUAUCAGCUUGUUGGUGGGGUAGUGGCUUACCAAGGCUUUGACGGGUAGCCGGCCUGAGAGGGUGACCGGCGUCAUUGGGACUGAGAUACGGCCCAGGCUCCUACGGGAGGCAGCAGUGGGGAAUAUUGCACAAUGGGCGGAAGCCUGAUGCAGCAACGCCGCGUGCGGGAUGACGGCCUUCGGGUUGUAAACCGCUUUCGCCUGUGACGAAGCGUGAGUGACGGUAAUGGGUAAAGAAGCACCGGCUAACUACGUG
rnacentral:rRNA from 1 species